AGCGAACGCUGGCGGCGUGCUUAACACAUGCAAGUCGAGUGCGCAGUUUUUCCCCGCCGCAAGGCGGGGGGAAUGGGCGCACGGCGCACGGGUGAGUAACACGUGGGCAACCUGCCCUACAGAGGGGGAUAACCCGCCGAAAGGCGGGCUAAUACCGCAUGAUAUUCCGGUGGCUGCGGCCGCUGGACUCAAAGUCCGCAAGGACGCUGUUGGAGGGGCUCGCGCCCGAUUAGCNGUUGGUGAGGUAACGGCUCACCAAGGCAAUGAUCGGUAGCCGGUCUGAGAGGAUGGCCGGCCACACUGGAACUGAGACACGGUCCAGACUCCUACGGGAGGCAGCA
rnacentral:rRNA from 1 species